AACGGCCGUACCAUGCUGAAUAUACCGGUUCUCGUUAAAUCAUCGAAGUUAAGCAUCAUUGGGCGCGAUCAGUACUUGGGUGGGUGACCACCUGGGAACACUGCGUGCCGUU
rnacentral:rRNA from 1 species